rnacentral:misc_RNA from 1 species
GUAUCUUUCUAUUGACUCAGACUCGGAGUAACGAAGUGGAGUUUAUUUUGCUGAGAUUACUGUUGCUUUCAUUAAAAUUUCUUGGAGAUCAGCAUUUCCUGGGAUGAUAUGGUGAUUAAAAAGCAUAUCGACAUUUGGUUCCUAUGAUAUGGAAGUCUUGGAUGAGGCAUGAAGCAUAUACAUCGGGAACAAUGUCAUCAGGAAAACUGUCCUCUUAAAGUUGUGUUGGCAGCUGAAGAUUUUUUUCACAAUUGGUGAGCUGUAGGCCUCAUAAACCCUUCUCAAUUUUGUGCGGUAUGACCUGGUUUCUGAUGUUCUUUGUUCUAUCAGGGGUUAUUACAAGCACUCUCUUUCUCCCAUCUUGACAAAGAUCUAUGUCUGGUGCUGGUAAAUUGUACAGUAGAUAGU